GGUCUCGCAGUGUAGCGGUUAACACGCCUGCCUGUCACGCAGGAGAUCGCGGGUUCGAUUCCCGUCGAGACCGCCA
rnacentral:tRNA from 1 species